AUGGUGGCUGAUGACCGGGAUCCCGUGCAGCCAAAUGCACGGGGAAGCACAGCAUCCCGUCGGAGGCCACCGCAUCCGCAUCUGGGAGCAAGGGCAGCCCAGAUCCACGCCCACCGCGGCCACGGGCAGCACCAGGCGCCGCCACGUCGGCGAAAUAAGCCACCCAGCCGCGCCGCCACACCCGUCGCCCCCGCUGCAGCACUCGCGAAACCGCCGCCAACCGCCGCGAGCCGAGCAGGAGGUACCCCGCCGUCCGCCGUCCGCCCCUGGGGCUUCGCCCGGGGGCCUCCUCCGGCAGCGGCGAGAGGAGGGGAGGGCUGGGGGUGGCCGGCGGCUAGGGUUUGA
rnacentral:rRNA from 1 species